GUAUUUAUUUUCUUAUGUUUGGGUGCAGACUUGCAGCUUCUUUGUGUUUAUGUUUUAACUGUUUACUUGAUCUUUUCAAGUUUAAUCUUUAUUUUUCAAGUUUGUUGUCGGUUAUUGAAAGAGACUGAAACUAUAAUCAGCAACAAAAGUUCUUGUGACACAUACAUGUUUGGAUAAAUUUGAUCAUGUUUAACCCAAACCAUAAAAAAACACGUUCACAAUACGAUAACAGAGCAUACAAACUCAUUUUGACUGUUUGAAAACCAGGUGAUAUAGGCUUUGCACGUCAAUUUCGUGAAAAACGAGUAAGUCUGUGGGUAUUUAAACAUGAGUUGCGGAUAGAUUUUUCAUUGUGGAUAAAGAUACGUUCACUGAGUGUUACCUGAAAAGACGUUGAAUGUCGGACCACAAGUAAACUCAUUUGAUGCCAAGGCUUUCUGAAAAUGAACGGUGGCGGGCACUUGGAAUGCUCCAAGCAGGAACCGAGCAACGUCGAUUUAAUGUUCACAGGAACUGUAUGGAACUUGUGGCACCGACAUCAGCAAACCAAUCACGCGAGAGACCAUCCCCACAGUGGUUGACCACAUGUAACGACUCAACGACAAGACAGCUGGAUCAGAUUAGAGUUUGAACUGUGGUUUUAGCCCGAUAGCAUUCACUUGGUCAUCUUACUGCUUACAAACAUGUCGAAUCACAAGAUUAUGAAUUGAAAUUGUUGCAUGUAUGUUAUCUGUAUCUAGUAUGCCAUCCAAAUCCAGAUUUGACUUAGUGGAAUGAUUUACUUGCUAAACUAGAAGCAGACCUCAGUAAGCGAACAGGCUGUACCACGGUAUUUUCCGUGUGUUGAUGUAGCGACUCUCGGGUAUGACGUCACGCGACCACGUGACCAGCUACCUCAUUAUCUUGCGUAUUCGCGAAAUGCUUUCGACGGUGGUGCGUUUUAGAUUCCUAAUACAAGCUGUAUAAUGAAAUAUUACCGUUUUUAACAGUAUUUUGUAAAUAGUAUAUAUACCCAGGGAUUCAUUAAGAGCAAAAAUAAACAAUGUGAAGUGACCUUUAUAAAAAUCCUUUAACAUUAAACAAGUAUUUGUACAUUAAAUGUAUUUGUCUUUCA